rnacentral:lncRNA from 10 species
CUGGAGUGGGAGACAGAGGGAUCCAGACUGACCAAACCAUCAUCUUCAACACGUGGCUCUGGGGGUUAUCCUGGGAUCCUGGGAGACAACAUCCAGCUGACACUAAGGUCCCUCUUCUGUAGGGCUCCUGCAGUUUUCCAGGGGUUCACUUCAGGUCCUAUUCAUCUGGUUCGCCCCCUCACUUGGAGAUGUCACUCAAGGAAGCUGGAGA